rnacentral:rRNA from 1 species
GAUGAACGCUGGCGGCGUGCCUAAUACAUGCAAGUCGAGCGAACAGACGAGGAGCUUGCUCCUCUGACGUUAGCGGCGGACGGGUGAGUAACACGUGGAUAACCUACCUAUAAGACUGGGAUAACUUCGGGAAACCGGAGCUAAUACCGGAUAAUAUAUUGAACCGGAUUGUUCAAGAGGGAAAGACGGUUUUGCUGUCACUUAUGGAUGGGUCCGCGCUGCAUUAGCUAGUUGGUUAGGUAACGGCUUACCAAGGCGACGAUGGGUAGCCGACCUGAGUGGGUGAUCGGCCACACUGGAACUGAGACACGGUCCAGACUCCUACGGGCGGCAGCCGGAGGGAAUCUUCCGCGAUGGGCGAGAGCCUGAUGGAGCAACGCCGCGCGAGUGAUGAAGGUCUUCGGAUCGUAUAAAUCUGUUAUUAGUGAAGAACGAAGGUGUACGUUACUAGGCAGGGCUGAACGGAACCUUAUCAGAAAGCCACGGCUAACUACGUG